GAAAUAGCUCAGCUUGGUAGAGCACUUGGUUUGGGACCAAGGGGUCGUAGGUUCGAAUCCUGUUUUCC
rnacentral:tRNA from 1 species